UGAAGGCUGCGUUUUGAGGAGUACAGACAGAAACUCUAUCACUAGUUGGGCACUUAAGAAGAUGUCUUUAGAUUUCUCUGGAAGACUACGUCAAAACUUGUGGAAGACAUUUUUUUCAAGAGGGCCUGGAAAUGCCCAGAAGAAUCCCAUUCCACCACCUGCUUCCACCCAGAAGGAGAUGGAAUGGCAGUUCUGUCCAGGAGAACCUAUAGCGUUAGAGGACAAAGGAAACAUGCUUCAAAUGGACAGUAAAAUAUUUCCUUCUCCCAUAAAUAAAACUAUAGAGCGGCAGAUAUAAACUUCAAGGAGAGGAAGAACAGCAGUACAAGUUCAGAGAACAGCUGAUUCAAAUCAGCAUUUAGGAGAAUCAUAGGCACCCCAAGCUUAUUUAAGAUGUAAUUUUCCUCUGAUAGGAUAAAAGACUGUCACCAGUAAUGACUUCUCACCUGCUUCAACCUUAUUCCUCAGAAACUCAACAGAACUUUAACUAUAAACUAAUUCUCCAAUUACAGACAAAUAGGCUUUAGCAGAGGCCUCUUGUGAAACAUAAAUAAGAAGUGGAUACUGAAAGUGUGAAUGGAUAAAUUUAGGUAUCUCUUCGGCAUCAGGGAAAAAAAGUGUAAACUUCUGCUUUAGUGAUGAAGUGUAACAUUUUUAUGAAAAUUUCUCCCCUUCUCUGGAUUAAAUAUACA